AAUGACCCUGUGUGAUCUGACCUCCAUUUUUUGGCCAUCACCACUUCAACCAGGCGACAACUGCGUGAGUGAAGUUGAAAGAUGACAUGUCACUCGCAAGUGUGGAUGCAGCAAACAGCAUUGUUGCUACGACAGCCAGGAAACUGGGCUUCCCAAUCCAAGAGUCCAGGAGGUGUACGGGUCCUGGAGGGAUUGAAGAAUGCAGCCAAUCAUCUUCUCAGCAGGCUGAACGAUACGCAGCAGUCUGCCCUUGUCCUUAGCAGGACCAUCAUUGUCAGCUCAGCUGCCCCGGGAAGUACAUCCACAUCUGCUGAUGUUCAGCUCCCACUUGAGGUCCUGGGUGGUGAUGGUGCCCAGGAAGUGGAAGGACCAGGAUGAAAAAAAGUUGUGAUUUGGACUUAUUUGCAGGCGUUACUCAUUUUAUUAGAACCAAUGACCACUAAACUAAAAUUACUAAAUGAAGCCUUUCGGCAGUGCCUACAUUAUUAACCACUCUUGAGUGCCAGUCUUUCAGAAGGGCCCAGAGCGAAAAUGUAGGCCUUUAUUAUUUUAUUUUUGGAUUUGUGUGACAUAUAUUGUGUCAGGAGAGACUUCGAGUGAACAUCAAAAAUUUAAUUUUUAUGUGUACAAUGAAUAUGAUAAAUGUGGCUUUAGUGAUUGGACACCAUUGUGAAGAUAUGCUAUUAAAGGGGGCCCCCAGAGGGGGGGUCAGUAAGGGCCCACAACACAUUUUAGCCCAGGGUCCUCUAGUGUCUUUGAUUGGAAAUCCACAUAUGUUUGGCUAUGUGUACUUCAUCUUUUUUAUUUUAUUUUACGGGACUAACCAAUGUUGUGAGUUAAACUCCAUCCAUUUGCAAAUAUUGUAUGACAAGGAUUAAAGGGCAACAUGAAAUACUUGAA